UACGUAGGCAGCAAGCGUUGUUCGGAUUCACUGGGCGUAAAGGGUGCGUAGGUGGUGAGGAAAGUCGGAUGUGAAAUCUCCGGGCUUAACCCGGAAACUGCAUUGGAAACUACCUUGCUAGAGGUUUUUGAGGGGGGGACUGGAAUUCUCGGUGUAGCAGUGAAAUGCGUAGAUAUCGAGAGGAACACCAGUGGCGAAGGCGAGUCCCUGGAAAACACCUGACACUGAGGCACGAAAGCUAGGGGGAGCAAACAGG
rnacentral:rRNA from 1 species